CCUGCUUUCGCCACUGCCACGAGCGCAGACAUUUCAAGCAGCACGGGCUGUGUUCAGGACUACGGGACCUCUACUUGAGACUCCACCUCCGGCAAGCCAUGCCUUUUUCCAGCGUUGAGAGGGUUAUCGCAAAAACGAGAAGGGGCUACCUUAUUCACUGGAAAGGUUGUUCCAUGUGGGAGUGUUCGUUUGAACCAAGACGUAACCUAAACAGGGACUGCCUGCGGAGUUUCGAAGAGUCUUGGCCACCUGACAGCAGACGCUUACAGCAUGCA
rnacentral:lncRNA from 1 species